AGCCGUGAGUUAUGCACAAAGCGAACUAUUCUUUCGCCUUUUACUAAAGAAUACCGUGUGCAUGUCUCAUCAAACGGCAUACGCUUAUUAGUUCAAAAUUUAUUUAUUUUAAUUA